CAGUGAAUUACAAAGGGCCAUA
rnacentral:miRNA from 1 species